rnacentral:rRNA from 1 species
UACGAGGGGGCUAGCGUUGCUCGGAAUCACUGGGCGUAAAGGGUGCGUAGGCGGGUCUUUAAGUCAGGGGUGAAAUCCUGGAGCUCAACUCCAGAACUGCCUUUGAUACUGAGGAUCUUGAGUUCGGGAGAGGUGAGUGGAACUGCGAGUGUAGAGGUGAAAUUCGUAGAUAUUCGCAAGAACACCAGUCGGCGAAGGCGGCUCACUGGCCCGAUACGUGACGCU